GCAGCGACGGGGAUUGUUUGUGGGCCUCAUGCUGCCCCUGUGCUUGCCUGCCUGGCCUGGCUAAGCCACCUAGCUAACCACCCACCUUUCCCCCAGCCUCCAGCUUGCUUACCUUCACUCUUUAGACCGAAUCCCCAGCCUCUGGUCGCAACGCCUGCCUUGCUUUGCUUGCUGCAAUCCCGGCAAUCAAUUGCAUCAGCUAGCAACUGAAUCUGCCUGACUGCAAUCAAUCUCAUAGGUAAGCAGCUGAAUCUGCCUGCCUUGUGCCUUCAAUUGGUAGCUGCCACCUUUAACAGGAAGGAUUAAAAGGCAACCAUUUUGAUGGGUUUCUUGGCCAAGCAUUAUGCUUGGGAGAAAAUCUGGAGUGAGCACCAGAAUAGCACAAGAGUUUCCAAAAAUCAUCAUAUGGCACUGCUUGAACCAUCGUCUCCAACUUGUUUUAGAUGACGCCAUAAAGGAAAUAAAGCAAGUAAAUCAUUUAAAAAUAUUUAUUGAUAAGAUAUGCUCCAUUUUCUAGCAAUGCAAUAAAAACCGAAUAGAACUUGACGAAAUAUCUGAAGAACUUGUAAUUAACAUCAUAAGGAUUGGUUGAGUUUUUGGGCCAAGAUGGGCUGCCUAUAGUUUACGGGCAACCAUAGCUGUGUGGCGUGCUUAUCCUGUGCUACAAUAAUAUUUUCAUGCAAAUGCAAAAUACUCAGGUAUGGCUGCCCAUCUGGAAAAUAAACAUUUCUUAAAUGAUUUGGCGUUGAUGAUAGACAUUUUGAAAGAAAUUUCACUUCUUUCAGCUGUGUUGCAAGCAUGCAAUAUGGAUAUAAUAAAGGCUGAAAAACUGGUGAGAAGAUCAAUAAAAGCAUUUGAACUGCUAACAAAGUGAAAGGGCCCAUACGAAAGAAAAGUUGGGCAAAUUCCUCAGAAACCUUCAGGAAUAUAAAACUCAUAGAAAUUCAUUGAUUUGUUGGUCUUCAUCGAGAAAGACUUUUAGAAAGUUUCAUAAAAAUUUGCACAAACGACUGAUGGACUGUGAACAUUUAAAAACUGGUAGCCAAUUGCAAGACACCACAAAUAAACUACAGUUUCUACAGUUUUUGGUGCCAGAGUACUGGGACUUUGAGGAAAUAGUUGUUCCAUGGACAGCAGCUGAAGAACAACUGCGCACAUUUGGUGACAUUUUCAAUUACCACAUUGAAAUCAACGACUCUAAAGAUUUUGUGGAGAAUGUGUUAAAAGAUCUGAAGAGGAUUAAAAAAGCAAAAGAUAUUGUCUUUUGCAGCAAGUUCUGCAGAAGCGGAAUGGGGUUUUUCGAAAAUGAACUUGAUAUGUUCAGAGAGUAGAAGUCACCUAGCCGUUUCCAAUUUAACCAGCCUCAUGACCAUCAGCAUUACUGGGCCACCUCUUCCCAAAUGGGACCCUAUUCCUGUAGUGAAAAAGUAGUUCAGAGAACACCAUCGCUCAGCCAAUGAUCCGCGCGCAUCAAGUGUAAGAAAAGUGGAAGUGAUGCCACUGAAAUAACUAUGUGGAAACAUCUUAAAGCUGAAGACAACUAACCGGUUUAUGUCAUUAUUAUCAUUGGUGCAAGAAACGACGUUGAAGACAACACUUUUAUUGCUCUUAGGUUCUUGUUCAGUGUAUUCAGAUGAUGAGUAAGAUCAACUAAAAAUGCCAGGUCUGCCAGCCACAGAGGGUCACUCAGUUCAUGAAGAGGUCGGUCCUUCUCUUUCAAAAAAUUGUCGAUUUCUGAUCUCAGCGAAUAAAACCGCUGCAGCACAGAGCCGCGGCUGAGCCAGCGCACAUCAGAGUGGUAGAGUACAUCCCCGUAUUCAGCAUCCACGUCAGAUAAGAAAGCUUGAAAUUCCCUGUGGUACAGUCCUCUAGCUCGAAUUAUGUUGACAGUUUUUACAACAGUGUUCAUCACAUUGCCCAGCUGCACAGUCUUGGCACACAGUGCUUCUUGGUGGAUUAUACAGUGCAUCCUAACAGCCUCAC